GGGUUGUGAGGUUAAGCGACUAAGCGUACACGGUGGAUGCCUAGGCAAUCAGAGGCGAUGAAGGACGUGCUAAUCUGCGAAAAGCGUCGGUAAGGUGAUAUGAACCGUUAUAACCGACGAUGUCCGAAUGGGGAAACCCAGUGCAAUUCGUUGCACUAUCGUUUGAUGAAUCCAUAGUCAAACGAGGCGAACCGGGGGAACUGAAACAUCUCAGUACCCCGAGGAAAAGAAAUCAACCGAGAUUCCCCUAGUAGCGGCGAGCGAACGGGGAGCAGCCCAGAGUCUUAAUCAGCAUCAGCAUCAGGAGAACGGUCUGGAAAGGCCGGCAAUAAAGGGUGAUAGCCCCGUAUCCGAAGGUGUUGGUGUUGUGAACUCGAUGAGUAGGGCGGGACACGUGUUAUCCUGUCUGAAUAUGGGGGGACCAUCCUCCAAGGCUAAAUACUCCUGAUUGACCGAUAGUGAACCAGUACCGUGAGGGAAAGGCGAAAAGAACCCCGGCGAGGGGAGUGAAAUAGAACCUGAAACCGUGUACGUACAAGCAGUGGGAGCCUUGAUUUAUCAGGGUGACUGCGUACCUUUUGUAUAAUGGGUCAGCGACUUAUAUUCUGUAGCAAGGUUAACCGAAUAGGGGAGCCGUAGGGAAACCGAGUCUUAACUGGGCGAAUGAGUUGCAGGGUAUAGACCCGAAACCCGGUGAUCUAGCCAUGGGCAGGUUGAAGGUUGGGUAACACUAACUGGAGGACCGAACCGACUAAUGUUGAAAAAUUAGCGGAUGACUUGUGGCUGGGGGUGAAAGGCCAAUCAAACCGGGAGAUAGCUGGUUCUCCCCGAAAGCUAUUUAGGUAGCGCCUCGUGAACUCAUCUUCGGGGGUAGAGCACUGUUUCGGCUAGGGGGUCAUCCCGACUUACCAACCCGAUGCAAACUACGAAUACCGAAGAAUGUUAUCACGGGAGACACACGGCGGGUGCUAACGUUCGUCGUGAAGAGGGAAACAACCCAGACCGCCAGCUAAGGUCCCAAAGUCAUGGUUAAGUGGGAAACGAAGUGGGAAGGCUCAGACAGCCAGGAUGUUGGCUUAGAAGCAGCCAUCAUUUAAAGAAAGCGUAAUAGCUCACUGGUCGAGUCGGCCUGCGCGGAAGAUGUAACGGGGCUAAACCAUGCACCGAAGCUGCGGCAGCGACAUGUAGAUGUUGUUGGGUAGGGGAGCGUUCUGUAAGCCUGUGAAGGUGUGCUGCGAGGCAUGCUGGAGGUAUCAGAAGUGCGAAUGCUGACAUAAGUAACGAUAAUGCGGGUGAAAAACCCGCACGCCGGAAGACCAAGGGUUCCUGUCCAACGUUAAUCGGGGCAGGGUGAGUCGACCCCUAAGGCGAGGCAGAAAUGCGUAGUCGAUGGGAAACAGGUUAAUAUUCCUGUACUGGUGAUAAUUGCGAUGGGGGGACGGAGAAGGCUAGGCUGGCCGGGCGACGGUUGUCCCGGUUUAAGGAUGUAGGUGGGUGAAUUAGGCAAAUCCGGUUCGCUAUACACUGAGGUCUGAUGACGAGUCACUACGGUGGCGAAGUAGCUCAUGCCCCGCUUCCAGGAAAAGCCUCUAAGCUCUAGAUUAUCAUUAAUCGUACCCCAAACCGACACAGGUGGUCAGGUAGAGAAUACUCAGGCGCUUGAGAGAACUCGGGUGAAGGAACUAGGCAAAAUGGUGCCGUAACUUCGGGAGAAGGCACGCUGGCAUUAGGUGAAGUGGUUUACCCAUGGAGCUGAAGCCAGUCGCAGAUACCAGCUGGCUGCAACUGUUUAUUAAAAACACAGCACUGUGCAAACACGAAAGUGGACGUAUACGGUGUGACGCCUGCCCGGUGCUGGAAGGUUAAUUGAUGGGGUUAUCCGUAAGGAGAAGCUCUUGAUCGAAGCCCCAGUAAACGGCGGCCGUAACUAUAACGGUCCUAAGGUAGCGAAAUUCCUUGUCGGGUAAGUUCCGACCUGCACGAAUGGCGUAAUGAUGGCCAGGCUGUCUCCACCCGAGACUCAGUGAAAUUGAACUCGCUGUGAAGAUGCAGUGUACCCGCGGCAAGACGGAAAGACCCCGUGAACCUUUACUAUAGCUUGACACUGAACAUUGAGCCUUGAUGUGUAGGAUAGGUGGGAGGCUUUGAAGUGUGGACGCCAGUCUGCAUGGAGCCAACCUUGAAAUACCACCCUUUAAUGUUUGAUGUUCUAACGUAGCCCCAUAAUCUGGGGUGCGGACAGUGUCUGGUGGGUAGUUUGACUGGGGCGGUCUCCUCCCAAAGCGUAACGGAGGAGCACGAAGGUUGGCUAAGCAUGGUCGGACAUCAUGCGGUUAGUGCAAAGGCAUAAGCCAGCUUGACUGCGAGAGUGACGGCUCGAGCAGGUACGAAAGUAGGUCUUAGUGAUCCGGUGGUUCUGAAUGGAAGGGCCAUCGCUCAACGGAUAAAAGGUACUCCGGGGAUAACAGGCUGAUACCGCCCAAGAGUUCAUAUCGACGGCGGUGUUUGGCACCUCGAUGUCGGCUCAUCACAUCCUGGGGCUGAAGUAGGUCCCAAGGGUAUGGCUGUUCGCCAUUUAAAGUGGUACGCGAGCUGGGUUUAGAACGUCGUGAGACAGUUCGGUCCCUAUCUGCCGUGGGCGUUGGAAGAUUGAAAGGGGCUGCUCCUAGUACGAGAGGACCGGAGUGGACGCACCGCUGGUGUUCGGGUUGUCAUGCCAAUGGCACUGCCCGGUAGCUAAGUGCGGAAGAGAUAACCGCUGAAAGCAUCUAAGCGGGAAACUUGCCUUGAGAUGAGUCUUCCCUGACUCUUUAAGGGUCCUAAAGGAACGUUUAAGACGAAGACGUUGAUAGGCUGGGUGUGUAAGCGUAGCGAUACGUUGAGCUAACCAGUACUAAUGAACCGUGAGGCUUAACCUGACAACACCGAAGGUGUUUUAG
rnacentral:rRNA from 1 species